ACGGAGCAACGCCGCGUGAGUGACGAAGGCCUUCGGGUCGUAAAGCUCUGUUGUUAGGGAAGAACAAGUACCGUUCGAAUAGGGCGGUACCUUGACGGUACCUAACCAGAAAGCCACGGCUAACUACGUGCCAGCAGCCGCGGUAAUACGUAUGUGGCAAGCGUUGUCCGGAAUUAUUGGGCGUAAAGCGCGCGCASGCGGUCUUUUAAGUCUGAUGUGAAAGCCCACGGCUCAACCGUGGAGGGUCAUUGGAAACUGGAGGACUUGAGUGCAGAAGAGGAGAGUGGAAUUCCACGUGUAGCGGUGAAAUGCGUAGAUAUGUGGAGGAACACCAGUGGCGAAGGCGGCUCUCUGGUCUGUAACUGACGCUGAGGCGCGAAAGCGUGGGGAGCAAACAGGUUUAGAUACCUUGUCUUAGUCCACGCCCGUAAACGAUGAGUUUAGGUGUUGGGGGGUUCCACCCUGCAGUGCUGAAGGUUAACUACGAUUAACCGCAGCUCCGCCUGGGGAGUACAUCGCACCGCAGCAAGGUUGAAAGCUCAAAGGAAUUGACGGGGGCCCGCACAAGCAGUGGAGCUAUGUGGUUUAACUUCGAAGCAACGCGAAGAACCUUACCAGGUCUGUGACAGUCCUCUGCCACAAUGGGCCUGGAGACACGGCACGUUCCCCUUCGGGGGACAGCAGUAGGACAGGUGGUGCAUGGUUGUCGUCAGCUCGUGUCGUGAGCAAUGUUGGGUUAGAGUCCCAGGCCAACGAGUCGCAACCCUUGAUCUUAGUUGCCAGCAUUCAGUUGGGCACUCUAAGGUGACUUGCCGGUGACAAACCGGAGGAAGGUGGGGAUGACGUCAAAUCAUCAUGCCGCCUUAUGACCUGGGCUACACACGUGCUACAAUGGACGGUACAAAGGGCAGCAACACCGCGAGGUGAAGCAAAUCCCAUAAAGCCGUUCUCAGUUCGGAUUGCAGGCUGCAGGACUUCGCCUGCAUGAAGCCGGAGAUUGCUAGUAAUCGCGGAUCAGCAUGCCGCGGUGAAUACGUUCCCGGGCCUUGUACACCACCGCCCGUCACACCACGAGAGUUUGUAACACCCGAAGUCGGUGGGGUAACCUUAUCGAGCCAGC
rnacentral:rRNA from 1 species